AACCUAUGUUAAGGACAUUUCCGCAAGAGCUCCUUGAACCUAUCCCAUGUCUCAAAAAGAGACUCCAAUUCCGUUUGCACAAAGAAGAAAAUUUCAUUCCUGAGCAU